UUUGAGGUGGACGAGGAGGGUGAGGGCAUUGUCGACGCACCGAAAGGAAGAGCGGGCAAUUACAACACCAACGAUGACAAGUUACUAUGCAAUAUUCCAGUCAAAAAAAAGUUACUAUGCAAUACUUAUUUGCAAGUAUCGAGGGAUCCAUCCAUUGGAGGUGAUCAACGUAGAGAUGCGUAUUGGGGGCGAAUGAAAGAAUACUUUGAUGAUCACAACAUGAGUGGAAUUGACCGCUCGGAGAGAUCACUUCGGUCCCGAUGGUCCACAAUCAACUCCGAUUGUCAAAAGUGGGCUGCCGCACAAAAGUCAGUUGACAAGAUUAAUCCAAGUGGCACAAAUGAGGAUGAUAGAGUAAGUGGCAUC
rnacentral:rRNA from 1 species